GCAUAUCAAUAAGCGGAGGGAAAAGAAACCAACCGGGAUUGCCCUAGUAACGGCGAGUGAAGCGGCAAGAGCUCAAAUUUGAAAGCUGGCUCCUUCGGGGUCCGCAUUGUAAUUUGCAGAGGAUGCUUCGGGAGCGGCCCCCCAUCUAAGUGCCCUGGAACGGGCCGUCAUAGAGGGUGAGAAUCCCGUCUGGGAUGGGGUGUCCGCGCCCGUGUGAAGCUCCUUCGACGAGUCGAGUUGUUUGGGAAUGCAGCUCUAAAUGGGUGGUAAAUUUCAUCUAAAGCUAAAUAUUGGCCGGAGACCGAUAGCGCACAAGUAGAGUGAUCGAAAGAUGAAAAGCACUUUGAAAAGAGAGUUAAAAAGCACGUGAAAUUGUUGAAAGGGAAGCGCUUGCGACCAGACUCGCCCGCGGGGUUCAGCCGGCAUUCGUGCCGGUGUACUUCCCCGCGGGCGGGCCAGCGUCGGUUUGGGCGGCCGGUCAAAGGCCCUCGGAAUGUAACGCCUCCCGGGGCGUCUUAUAGCCGAGGGUGCCAUGCGGCCAGCCCGGACCGAGGAACGCGCUUCGGCACGGACGCUGGCAUAAUGGUCGUAAGCGACCCGUCUUGAAACACGGACCAAGGAGUCUAACAUCUACGCGAGUGUUCGGGUGUCAAACCCGUGCGCGCAGUGAAAGCGAACGGAGGUGGGAACCCCCUGGGUGCACCAUCGACCGAUCCUGAUGUCUUCGGAUGGAUUUGAGUACGAGCGUAGCUGUUGGGACCCGAAAGAUGGUGAACUAUGCCUGAAUAGGGCGAAGCCAGAGGAAACUCUGGUGGAGGCUCGCAGCGGUUCUGACGUGCAAAUCGAUCGUCAAAUUUGGGUAUAGGGGCGAAAGACUAAUCGAACCAUCUAGUAGCUGGCUCUGCGA
rnacentral:rRNA from 1 species